CAGUGAGAAACAUGGCUCCCACCAUCUGCCAUCCAUUUGAUUAAUUGUUAAUUUUCAGUAAACAUGUAUAGUAUAUCACAAUUAUUGGCCACUCUCCUUUCAGUGAGGUUGUUCCAAACAUUUGCAAUAAAGUUAGACUAUUUUAGCACAUUCUGUGUUCCAUCCCGGGAUUUCUGGCCUCCUAAAUAAUUUUUUGAGAAAGGAAGCCUGAAUUCAGGUUUAAUUAGGAAUAUAUUUAUCAAAACUCAUCCAACAGUAUGCCACAGACAUGUGCAUUUCACUCUCUACAAAUUUUACCUUCAUAAUACAAAAACUCCCGUUUUUAAAAUAAAUAACCCCAAUUAUGAAUGAAUACAUUUAUAUUUAGAUUUAUGUCUAUAAGACACAUGAAUCUGCAUAAAUCCCUUGGAAUUUAGUUUCUCCUAGAGAAAUGAAUAAAGUUAA
rnacentral:lncRNA from 1 species